GACGAACGCUGGCGGCGUGCUUAACACAUGCAAGUCGAACGGAAAGGCCCUGCUUUUGUGGGGUGCUCGAGUGGCGAACGGGUGAGUAACACGUGAGUAACCUGCCCUUGACUUUGGGAUAACUUCAGGAAACUGGGGCUAAUACCGGAUAGGAGCUCCUGCUGCAUGGUGGGGUUUGGAAAGUUUCGGCGGUUGGGGAUGGACUCGCGGCUUAUCAGCUUGUUGGUGGGGUAGUGGCUUACCAAGGCUUUGACGGGUAGCCGGCCUGAGAGGGUGACCGGCCACAUUGGGACUGAGAUACGGCCCAGACUCCUACGGGAGGCAGCAGUGGGGAAUAUUGCACAAUGGGCGGAAGCCUGAUGCAGCAACGCCGCGUGCGGGAUGACGGUCUUCGGGUUGUAAACCGCGUUUGCCUGUGACGAAGCGUGAGUGACGGUAAUGGGUAAAGAAGCACCGGCUAACUACGUG
rnacentral:rRNA from 1 species